rnacentral:rRNA from 1 species
ACACAUGCAAGUCGAGGGGCAGCAUGAACUUAGCUUGCUAAGUUUGAUGGCGACCGGCGCACGGGUGAGUAACGCGUAUCCAACCUGCCCUUUACUCGGGGAUAGCCUUCUGAAAGGAAGUUUAAUACCCGAUGAAUUCGUUUAGUCGCAUGGCUUGAUGAAUAAAGAUUAAUUGGUAAAGGAUGGGGAUGCGUCCCAUUAGCUUGUUGGCGGGGUAACGGCCCACCAAGGCGACGAUGGGUAGGGGUUCUGAGAGGAAGGCCCCCCACAUUGGAACUGAGACACGGUCCAAACUCCUACGGGAGGCAGCAGUGAGGAAUAUUGGUCAAUGGGCGCGAGCCUGAACCAGCCAAGUAGCGUGGAGGACGACGGCCCUACGGGUUGUAAACUCCUUUUAUAAGGGGAUAAAGUUGGCCAUGUAUGGCCAUUUGCAGGUACCUUAUGAAUAAGCAUCGGCUAAUUCCGUGCCAGCAGCCGCGGUAAUACGGAAGAUGCGAGCGUUAUCCGGAUUUAUUGGGUUUAAAGGGAGCGUAGGCGGGCAGUCAAGUCAGCGGUCAAAUGGCGCGGCUCAACCGCGUUCCGCCGUUGAAACUGGCAGCCUUGAGUAUGCACAGGGUACAUGGAAUUCGUGGUGUAGCGGUGAAAUGCUUAGAUAUCACGAGGAACUCCGAUCGCGCAGGCAUUGUACCGGGGCAUUACUGACGCUGAGGCUCGAAGGUGCGGGUAUCAAACAGGAUUAGAUACCCUGGUAGUCCGCACAGUAAACGAUGAAUGCCCGCUGUCGGCGACAUAGUGUCGGCGGCCAAGCGAAAGCGUUAAGCAUUCCACCUGGGGAGUACGCCGGCA